AGUAAUGGCGAAUGAACAGGGAUCAGCUCAGUAUGGCAAUCGGGCCUGUGGUCUUGACUUGUGGUCUCCAGAUGUGUUGCCAGCGGAGGCGCAGGCGUGUGCCUCUUGGAAAAGAGCAUCAGCGAGGGUGAGAAUCCCUUUUCUCUGCAGCCCUCCGCGCCCGGCGUGCAUUAUUCGAGUCGCGCUCUUCGGAACUGGAGUGCAAAUUGGGUGGUAAUUUUCAUCUAAAGCUUAACAUUGGUUCAAGACCGAUAGCAAACAAGUACCAUGAGGGAAAGGUGAAAAGGACUUUGAAAAGAGAGUUAAAAGUGCCUGAAGUUGCUGAAAAGGAAGCGAAUGGAACCUGUGCUUCUAGGCGAGAUUGUUGCGUGCUCAUAUGAUUGCUUGCCCCUGCAGCGUGAGUGUACGGGUGAGCCUUGUCUAGGAUGCAUGCAGUGGUUCUUGCCUUGUCUGUCAAAUCCAGUUUACACUUGAGGACAACGCCAGGGGCAUUGUAAGCUGGCCUCGGCUGCCUGAAUACGCCUGGUGGGACUCUUCGUUGAACUGUUAUGUGUGUGUGUCUGGUUGCAGUGCCUUUGUGAAAAAACGCAUUCUGGUGAGGGGAACUUCAUGUGGAAUCGCUGACAGAGGUGUCUCCCUGAUACAUCGCGUAUGACCAAAAGGCUCCACUCGACCCGUCUUGAAACACGGACCAAGGAGUCUAACAUAUGUGCAAGUACACGGGUGGGCAAACCUGCUUGCGUAAUGAAAGUGAGGGCUGGGAUUUCUGCACCAGCAACCGACCAAUCAAUUGAGAGAGGUUUGAGUGUGAGCAUGUCUGUUAGGACCCGAAAGAUGGUGAACUAUGCCUGUGAAGGGUAAGCUCAGGGGAAACUCUGAUGGAGGCUCGUAGCGAUACUGACGUGCAAAUCGUUCGUCAUACAUGGGUAUAGGGGCGAAAGACUAAUCGAACCAUCUAGUAGCUGGUUCCCUCCGAAGUUUCCCUCAGGAUAGCUGGAGUUGAACAGUUUUAUCAGGUAAAGCGAAUGAUUAGAGGAAUCGGGGGCGCGCUGUUCUCGACCUAUUCUCAAACUUUAAAUGGGUAAGAUCUAGUGGUUACUUGGGUGAACUUCUGGGAUAUAUGACAACUCUAAGUGGGCCGCUUUUGGUAAGCAGAACUGGCGAUGAGGGAUGAACCUAAUGUUGGGUUAAAGUGCUUAACUGCCCGCUCAUCAGAUACCAUAAAGGGUGUUGGUUCAUUUUAACAGCAGGACGGUGGUCAUGGAAGUCGAAAUCCGCUAAGGAGUGUGUAACAACUCACCUGCCGAAUGGACUAGCCCCGAAAAUGGAUGGCGCUUAAGCGGGUGGCUGAUACUCAACCAUUGUUGCAUUUGUGUUGCACCAAUGAGUAGGAGGGCAUGGGGG
rnacentral:rRNA from 1 species